rnacentral:rRNA from 1 species
UACGUAGGGGGCAAGCGUUAUCCGGAUUUACUGGGUGUAAAGGGAGCGUAGACGGCAGCGCAAGUCUGAAGUGAAAUCCCAUGGCUUAACCAUGGAACUGCUUUGGAAACUGUGCAGCUGGAGUGCAGGAGAGGUAAGCGGAAUUCCUAGUGUAGCGGUGAAAUGCGUAGAUAUUAGGAGGAACACCAGUGGCGAAGGCGGCUUACUGGACUGUAACUGACGUUGAGGCUCGAAAGCGUG